rfam:Rhodobacteraceae bacterium HIMB11 HIMB11_contig13.2, whole genome shotgun sequence.
GCGGGUGGCUGGAUGGCCGCGGGGAUUUCCCCGAGGAAAGUCCGGACUCCACAAAGCAAUGGUGCCGGGUAACGCCCGGGCGGGGCAACCCGACGGAAAGCGCCACAGAAAUGAAACCGCCCAUGUCCGCAUGGGUAAGGGUGAAACGGUGGAGUAAGAGCCCACCGGGGGACUGGCAACAGGACCCGCAUGGCAAGCCCCACCAGGAGCAAUGCCGAAUAGGAUCCUUGCGCGGAGUUGAUCGGGCAACCGAUAUGGCCGCAGGGUGGCUUUGGCCCAAAGGAUCGGGUUGGCAGCUAGAGGGCCAUGGGCAACCAUGGUUCAAGAGGAAUGGUCAUCCAAGGGGGCAACCCCUGGACAGAAUCCGGCUUAUAGGCCGCCCGCGCGU